rnacentral:ncRNA from 1 species
GUGCAGGGGUGCUAAAAAGCUGAGAACAAACCCUUUGAACUUGAUCCGGAUCAUACCGGCGAAAGGAGCGAAACA